UCCCCAAUCUGGAAACCAAACAGGACAGGUUAGUGAUCAAAGUGAUCCAGGUUCCCACUUUUAUCCAUUUCCUUGACUGCUACUUCAUCUUAUUCCCCCUUGUUACCGUCUCCACACUCUCCCCUGUGUCUAAUUUGUGCUUUGACUGUGUUCUGUAAUUGAACCGUCUUUCACAGGAUUCAUCUUUUACAGAUGAGGCCCCAGAUUGGAUCCCGAGAGCGGGACUAUGAAUGAUUCAUGGAAAGAGAACUGGAGACGCCGCUCCGUGCGUUUUCACACUACUAAAUAUUUAAUUGAGACUUUCUUGGUCAUCGGUUGGGACAUUACGGAUGUGAUCGACACCUCAGACAACUCGUGGAGCAGCGGCGCAUGUCGUGGGUAACGGGGGACACGUAAAACAUCCACUCUCGACAAUUGUGAUGAAUUGUCGAGAGCUACUGCGAGAAUUUGUCGCUCGAGAUCGCCAAGUGCACCGAUGAGCUUAUAAAAGUGAGUGGCCCAAAGGUAACAACCACCGAUCAAGCAAGAACAAGCGCAAGCUUUACACUUCAGCUGUCGCGAAAACAGAGCGCAACUUUCUCGAGAGUUGGACCCACAUGGUGCCUGGGAUGGAUUUACAAGUAUGAAAAAAGGUCAGAUAGGGGACGGCGUUGGAAAGGAUACUGUGUUUAAGAGAACAGAAACGUUUUACUGGACGAACGCUUACUUUGAGCUCUUAUGCCUGACAUGUUUGUCUAAGAAUUUCAGCUCGGUUCAACGUCAUUGAGUAAAUGUAGGGAGAAUGUCAUUGCCAAGUUUGAUUCCAGCACACCUGCUCAGCAAUCUCCCAUUGCUCACAUUUAUGGGCUCCCUAUUCUCCAGGACCCCCCCACCCCCAAAAAAACCCUCGAGCACAGCAGGGUAGCGUCAAGCCCGAACCCACACAGUCAUUGACUUAACGAUCUUAAGAAGAUCAACAGCCACAGAGUCCUGGUGGGAUCUGAUCCCAGUUGCUUGAGGGAGACGGAGGCAGAUUGGAGGAUUAUCUUGACUCUAAUUACGCCGCCACUCAACAAAUGAAGAGUUGGAUGCAGUGUGAGCGUGGCCAAUUAGUUACUGACAUGAAAACAAAAAGGAGGGGUGGGGGGUGAGCAUGACGGAGCCUUGCAUGAAAAGCAAAUAUGGGAGGAAAAAUCCGAAUGGACUGACAUGAGAACAGCUGCGUUUGUAAGGCGUGAUAGACUGUGACAGCGUGACAUGCUGUACCUAACAGCUUGAGGCAUAACUUGCACGGCAUGUGCUGCCGUUCGUCGGCACCGUAUGCGCGUAUGACUCGCUGAUCAUUCACGCAGUGGAUGUUUUCAUCGUACCACUGCGUGGUGUAGGUGGGGUAACAGGUUGUUUUUCAGACGCCGUAGGGGUCGGUACAAAAUCGUAAGAUCGCAAUGCAUGGUUUUGUGUAUCAAUGUUCCUGUAUCACAUCAAUAGUGCUAUUGUAGAAAUGUUGGUCUUGUCCUAUUUGAAGAAAAAAAAACAUUGUUGCUUUUGCCACUCUCGGAUCAUCUUUUAUUUACCAUUGCUAUCAUUUCAGUCUGAUAAUAUGGUAGCAAAUAUUGAUAUUGUAAUCCAGAAUGAAAUAUCGAUAUUUUGGUUGCCUGCAUUUCCUUCCUGUUGCUGAAUUGUGCUUCUGUUGUCGUUAAAAAAAGAAAUAAUAAUAGUAAUAAUAACAGUGACGUUCUUGUAUCUCUCUCAACUUGGAUAACCCAAUUAGCUCGAUACACGUUGCAAGUGCACUCACCCAAA